rnacentral:tRNA from 1 species
GCUAGCGUGCCCGAAUGGUUGAAGGGGAAUGAUUUAAGCUCGUUUUUCGUGGGUUAGAUUCCCAUCGUUAGUA